rnacentral:rRNA from 1 species
AUGGCAUCGUCGUCGCUGAAGGUCGCCGCGGGGCAUCUGAUAUGCCUCGUGCUCGCACAGGGGCUCUUCGUCGGCCUGAACGUCCGCGGGCUGGAGCUCGCGCAGCCGCCGGCCCACGCGACGCCGCCCCUCGCCCGCUGCGCAGCCGGGCCCUGGCACCGCCAGAGGAUGGGCGCCCUGCACGCGUUCUCGCUGCUCGCGGUGGAGGCAUCGGCCUACGUCGCCCUCGCCGUCAAGAUCCACCGCAGUGACCGGCCGACCGCAGGGAUCUGCAUCCGCGCCUCCAUGCUGCUCGCCGCCGCGCUGUCGCUGGCGGCCACCGUCCUCCAUACGGCGACGCUCUUCUACGUGCAACAGGUGAGGCUGGGCGCGGACUUCUCUUGCUUCUCCGUCGCCGCCAGGGCCGGCGUAUGUGCCUACGCGCUGAUGGGGGCCAUGGGGCUCGUGUGCGCCUGGAAACACUGCCAACUCGCCGUCGUCGCCAUCCGCUGUGACUAG